CUGGGAAGAAAUCGCACAGCUGUUGUUAGAAAACAUAGUGGAAAGUUUGUCAGAUUUCUUUUGUAUUAUGGUUUGCGACAAGCAGCCCUUGUUCGUGUGUAGACAGCAAGCUCAAGUUGCACAGCAUAGGUUGAAUAUUACCAUUGACAUUGACUUAGAUCCCAUUGAGCAGUUCGGUCCAUAAAGUUGUUGGUGUAUUUCUGUGCUCCAUAUCUUAUUAAUUUGCAAGUUCGUAUAUCUGAAUCCACUGCCUGGAAAGAGGAUGGCGACCCAGGCAGGGAGAAGCGGUCACAAGAAAAAAGCGGAGUACUGUACCAAUCUAAAAUGUGCCGGCUUUGCUAUGCCUCAUGCAAUGCAACCGAAAUCUUUCUCGGUUUCAGGGAGGCCAUCGCGAAGUUUCCAAUAAGAACUCGCCACGGGCUCACUGCUGCGUCGCAGCCAGAGGGGGUGGAAAAAACGUGGCAUCAUAGGGGCGCUAAAAGAGGGGGAGAUUAUAAUUUGACCUAAAUUUAGGUGAGAUCGUAGAAUCAACUCCAAAAUUUCAUAUUUGACCUUGCAGUUAAGUUUACAACUCCAAAAAAAUCAGCUUCAAACUCGAUCCACAGUAAGAUAUUCAAAAAGAGAAAUUCAUCUAUGAAUAGUGCCAGCUUUGCAUGAAUAGUACUUGACACUAUUCACAUCCAAUUUUGUCCUUUUUAGUUCUCUAAGGGCAGUUCGAAUUAGGAGCUGAAAUUCUUUGAGGUUGUACUCCCUCCGGUCAAUUUUACUCUGCAUAUAAAAAUUGUCUGAAGUCAAACUUCAUAUUUAUAUGAAAAAAAUAUUAACAGCUACAAUGCUAAAUUUAUACAAUAUGAAAACUAAAGUCAUGACACAUCUAAUAUUGUCAAUUUCAUAUUCGGAAUGUUGGUAUUUUUUUUUCUAUAAACUUGAUCAAAGUUUACGAGGUUUGACUUCUGACAAAUCUUAUAUGCGAACUAAAAAGGACCGGAGGGAGUACAUCAUACACGGAUGUGUCCAAAAAUAUUUUUAGAAUUUUUUAACAUGUUUUGAGUCUUCUAAAAGAUUGAUCUCAUCGAAGGUUCAGGUGCGGCCGCAGGGUUGACCGUUGGUGCUGGAGAGUGGGAGUGGGGUUUGAGGCUUUAGAAGGUUAGUCAGGGUGGCGGUGCCUUUGGCCGUGGGAGGCAGUGGCGGAGCGUAGUGGGGACAAUACCGGGCCUUGGCCACCCCUUGCUAGAGAAAAAUUUACACAGUAUGUUUAUAUUUCUAUUAAUCGCUCUACUAAUCCUCCGGCCUUGUCUGAUCACCCUAGUCUUUUCUAUGUCAUACACUCGUUUUGGCCCCUCCUUACAUUUGGUUCACGCUCCGCCACUGGUGGGAGGCGAUUCGGUCUUGGGUCGGAGGGCAGUGGUGGAAGAAUGUCUUUUAAGUCGGCCUCAAAUGAUCUUGAAUUUGCUAAGUAAGAAGAGAGUUGUCUGGUUAAUUAACAGAAAAAUGGGUGAACACUGUCACAGUAUGCCUGUAAAAGCAAGGCACUUCGAGUGACCUGGCAGCCCACCCAAGAACGUACACACGUCGUCGAGGAGAAAAGCAUCACCAAGGUCGCAGCCCGGUGUCAUCGUCAUCACACCUUCGAGAGGGUGACUCGACUUCAUCAUUGACGAACACAAACUAGCUCGCAUGGCAAUACGAAUGCCGAGACCUGCGCAGGUGGAAGCCAAACAGUCAACCGCACGCGUCGGUGACCAGGCAGCUCCGACUCUGCCAACGAGCAUUGCAGGAGAAAUGCGCUGGACUUGCGCCAGGGCAACGCCAAAACCGACCACCCACCUCAGGUCAUCGUCCCUGCAAUGUCCACCUCAGCAGCUCUGACUUCAUAGAGACAAAGUGAGGCAUGACGACCCAUCAAACACGCCUUAUGAGACUGACUACCAGAGCACAACUGCAACCCUGCCUUUGCCCGAAGCCGCAUUCGUUGCCACAUAUAGGAAACUGACAUCGCAUCACUGGACGGCCACCUGCCGACCACAAUGUCGCGAGCGUUCAACCCAUGGCACAAAUGAGAUCGGAAGCUCUUUAAGGAGACACCCCAAAGAGAGGAAGUGGUGAUGUUGACGUCGUCGUACAACAUAGGCGGGCCUUAGGCUUUCAUCCAAAGAUCAAGAUCCGAGUGUGUAGGAGGAUACGGGGCUCCACGGCGAUGCCUCCAGGAAGGUGAAAAGACACCUGCAAACGUCAACACCGGCAACCAUCAAGACCAGACAAGGUUUCGCUCGGAGCAACCCAACAUCACCAACACCCCCACGCACAGCACCCCCGCUGCCCACCAACCUCUCAUAGAGCCACCGCAUUGGUAGCACUGGAGAGUCACCAAGCAGCACACUUCCCCCGCCGCCCAAACACCGACGAACCAGAUCCAACCAGAUUUGGCAUCCCACCACCGCUACGCCACCAUAGGAGCCACCAGGGCCUCGGCCCGCGCGAGGCACCGCACAGAGCAGGAAGGGGAGGAGGCACACCUGCCCCUAUUCGUCGGAGAAGAGCAAAUGACCGAAGACCAGGAGCCUGCCAGCAAAGUUGCCAUGGCUGCCACCCACGAGAGACACUGCUAGGGAGUUGCCACGCCGGAGACGAGUAGACGAGGCGCACCAGGGACGCGGGGGCCCUACGUAGAUUCGCCGUGCUACGUAGAAGAAGGGGAUCGAGCCUUCCCACCGAGCUUCUGUUAUCAAACGAGAGGAGGACGCCCCCGCCCCCGUGCUACGCAGAAAAAGGUGAUCAAACCUUCCCACUCUGAGCUUCUGUAGCCAAACGAGAGGAAGAUGACCCCUUCGCCGCUUGGGCUUAGCCCGGCGGCCUCCUCCGAUGACGGCGAGGAAGGAAGGGGGCGGGAGGGCGGCCCCGGCUAGGUUUCUACCCGUGUCGCCUUGGACAAGAGGACGCAGGGGCUUUUUGGAAGGGGAAAGUCCAUUUUAAACCCGCGAACUCGUAGAGGUUCGGCGAAAUGAACCAUCAAGUCAAAAUUCCCAUCGAUUGCGCCCUGAACUAUGCAAUCUCGGUCUAAAUCAAACCCUGGCAUCAUUUGAGGCAUAAAAACCCUAAAGUGGCUAGCUCGUGGGGCAAGGACCGGCAAUGUUGACUACGGCGCGCACCUGUCCUCCGUGCUGGGCAGCUCAUUUGUAUUUUUUUGUAUGCUAAAAAUGGUUUUCUAUAAUAUUGCUAAACAAAGGUGCGCGCGCACAUGUCCUCUGCGCUGGGCUAGCCCUUUUGUAUUUUUUUACCUGAUAAAAUUGUCUUUUUCCUGUUACACUGCUAGAAAAAAGGUGCGCGCACAAGGUGAUUCAAACUUGCGACCUCCGCUUUCGAUGCAAACUAUCCUUACCAACCACGUCGCCUCACCUCUUGUGGAUAAUUUAUUCCAAUUUCUUUUUUAUUUUGUUCAUGGAAGCUCAUUAUACAGUUCUUCUUUCUUUUUCCUUUUUAUCUAAUUCAUUUUUUAAAAUUUGUGAACCUUUUUAUAGAACUCGUGGAGUUUUUCGAAUCCAUGAACCUUUUUUAAAUCCAUGAACUUUUUCUAGUUUUACAAUUUUUUUUCCCAAAAUCCAUGCACUUUUCUUUUGAAAAUCCAUGAACUUCUCAAAAACUGUGAACUUUUUCUAAAUUCAUGAACUUUUAAAAAAAUAUGACAUUUUUUCCUUCUGAAAAUCUGGUUCACGACGUUUUUUUGGUGCUAUUUCCUACUAAGAUGACCACGAAUUUAAUAAAAAUGAAAACAAAAAAGAAAAAGAAAAAGAAAAAAGAAAAAAAA
rnacentral:lncRNA from 1 species